rnacentral:rRNA from 1 species
UACGUAGGUGGCAAGCGUUGUCCGGAUUUAUUGGGCGUAAAGGGCGCGCAGGCGGCCUCUUAAGUCUGAUGUGAAAUCUUGUGGCUUAACCACAAGCGGUCAUUGGAAACUGAGAAGCUUGAGUGCAGAAGAGGAGAGUGGAAUUCCACGUGUAGCGGUGAAAUGCGUAGAGAUGUGGAGGAACACCAGUGGCGAAGGCGACUCUCUGGUCUGUAACUGACGCUGAGGCGCGAAAGCGUGGGGAGCGAACA